rnacentral:pre_miRNA from 13 species
CCCACCCCACCCACACUAGGCCUGUCUCUCCGUGUUCACAGCGGACCUUGAUUUAAAUUUGUACACAAUUAAGGCACGCGGUGAAUGCCAAGAGCCCAGCCAAAGAACGGCAGCGCCAGC